CUGGAAGAUAUUAUGGACUCUUUCCUUUCCUCGGCGCCGGUUCCUCUCCCACUCAGUCGUGUGAGUUUUGUGACAAAGUGAAGAGAAUUCUGAAAACUUGAACCUGCUCUCCUCCGGCUGCCUCGGCCUUCCUAAUGGCUCACUUGUUUUCGUUCCCGGUUGCUGCCUGCGCAUGUUUCUCUCUCUCGUCCUCACCCUCCCUCUGCCUGCUCCUCUGGGCUCUAUGUAAGGAGAUCACUUUGUUUCCGUGGCUGUUUUUUCGCGGUGCUGCAGAAACAUGGAGAACAGAACUGAAAUCGAGGAGAUACUGAUAGGGUGGGAGGGGAGGGUUCACAGCUGCAGGAGUCCCCUCCAUCUUCUCCACACCAGGACUAAUGCUCCCCUCCCUCUCCUGCUCCCUUCUCGGGUGUUUGACUCUCCCUCCGCUGCGCCGUUCUCUGCUUUUUGCCUGUCGGAGGGGUGGGGGUGCCAUAUGGAAGCUCGGAAAAAUGUAAGAGGUUAAAGACAAGCGAGAGGAAUCUUACGUUUAUGAGCUCAGAUGUCGGGAACUAUCUGGGGGAACUUCAAGUUGGUUUCUAGAAAACUCUUCCCUGACCAAGACACAUUUAAGGGAUGUCCGUCCCUCUUGGCGCUCAGAGAUGAGACAGAUCCAUCAGUCUCUGCAUCCCUGCUCCUUAUUCCUUUAUUUUGUGUUAUCCGUUUUUGUUAGCGGUUUUGUUCACUUGUGUGACUUUAGUGUUUUGUUAGAAUAUUUACAGAGGCCUUCUGAGUCGUAAGCAUCAUAGCCUAGCUCGGCCUAGGUGUCCGGCGCUUGCAGAGAGACCAGACGACCUUUUACUCAGCUCCUUCCCACUGCAGUCACUUAAAACAGUGAUGGAUGUCCCUCUGUACACCCCCCACCCUCCUCGCUUGGCCCUCCUCUGCGCUCAUCCCUCUCUCUCUCAUAUCACCACCCCCACCCGGCUUUCAGCACCACUCUCACCUUAUUUGUCCUUUCUCCCCGCUCCGCCAUUCACUGUCUUUUACACCCCCCUUCCUGUUCUCUGUUCCUGCAUAGUGAUGAGAAGGAAGAGGUAGAGGAAAAGGAGGCGGGGUCUAAACCAAGCGCCAAACGUGUUUCCUACCUGUCAGAGUGUAUUA